rnacentral:rRNA from 1 species
GAUGAACGCUGGCGGCAUGCUUUACACAUGCAAGUCGAACGGUAACAGGCCGCAAGGUGCUGACGAGUGGCGAACGGGUGAGUAAUGCAUCGGAACGUGCCCAGUCGUGGGGGAUAACGCAGCGAAAGCUGUGCUAAUACCGCAUACGAUCUAUGGAUGAAAGCGGGGGACCGUAAGGCCUCGCGCGAUUGGAGCGGCCGAUGUCAGAUUAGGUAGUUGGUGGGGUAAAGGCUCACCAAGCCAACGAUCUGUAGCUGGUCUGAGAGGACGACCGGCCACACUGGGACUGAUAGACGGCCCAGACUCCUACGGGAGGCAGCAGUGGGGAAUUUUGGACAAUGGGCGCAAGCCUGAUCCAGAAAUGCCGCGUGCAGGAAGAAGGCCUUCGGGUUGUAAACUGCUUUUGUACGGAACGAAAAGGUUUGGGUUAAUGCCCUGGGCCGAUGACGGUACCGUAAGAAUAAGCACCGGCUAACUACGUGCCAGCCGCCGCAGUAA